GAUGAACGCUGGCGGCGUGCCUAAUACAUGCAAGUCGAGCGAACAGACGAGGAGCUUGCUCCUCUGACGUUAGCGGCGGACGGGUGAGUAACACGUGGAUAACCUACCUAUAAGACUGGGAUAACUUCGGGAAACCGGAGCUAAUACCGGAUAAUAUAUUGAACCGCAUGGUUCAAUAGUGAAAGACGGUUUUGCUGUCACUUAUAGAUGGAUCCGCGCCGCAUUAGCUAGUUGGUAAGGUAACGGCUUACCAAGGCGACGAUGCGUAGCCGACCUGAGAGGGGGUAGGCCCACAGUGAGGAGGGACAGCGUGCCAGGGCCUGAGGGAGGGCCGAGGUAGGGACUCGUCCGCAAGGGGGGAAAGCCUGCAGAAGGAACGCCGGGGGGGUGGUGAAGGGCUUCGGGGCGGAAAACUCUUUUUUUGGGGAAAAAAAAAUGGGUAAGGAACUAUGCACGUCUGACGGGACCUGAAUCAGAAGCCCCGGCCAAACAAGUU
rnacentral:rRNA from 1 species